UAGGGAAUCUUCCGCAAUGGACGCAAGUCUGACGGAGCAACGCCGCGUGAGUGAAGAAGGAUUUCGGUUCGUAAAACUCUGUUGUUAGAGAAGAACAGCGCAUAGAGUAACUGUUAUGCGUGUGACGGUAUCUAACCAGAAAGCCACGGCUAACUACGUGCCAGCAGCCGCGGUAAUACGUAGGUGGCAAGCGUUGUCCGGAUUUAUUGGGCGUAAAGCGAGCGCAGGCGGUCAAUUAAGUCUGAUGUGAAAGCCCCCGGCUCAACCGGGGAGGGUCAUUGGAAACUGGUUGACUUGAGUGCAGAAGAGGAGAGUGGAAUUCCAUGUGUAGCGGUGAAAUGCGUAGAUAUAUGGAGGAACACCAGUGGCGAAGGCGACUCUCUGGUCUGUACAUGACGCUGAGGCUCGAAAGCGUGGGUAGCAAACAGG
rnacentral:rRNA from 1 species